UCAGGCCUAACACAUGCAAGUCGAGCGCGCCUUCGGGUGAGCGGCGGACGGGUUAGUAACGCGUGGGAAUAUGCCCAAAGGUAGGGAAUAGCCUCUGGAAACGGAGAGUAAUACCCUAUGUGCCCUUCGGGGGAAAGAUUUAUCGCCUUUGGAUUAGCCCGCGUUAGAUUAGGUAGUUGGUGGGGUAAUGGCCUACCAAGCCUACGAUCUAUAGCUGGUUUUAGAGGAUGAUCAGCAACACUGGGACUGAGACACGGCCCAGACUCCUACGAGAGGCAGCAGUGGGGAAUCUUGGACAAUGGGGGCAACCCUGAUCCAGCCAUGCCGCGUGAGUGAUGAAGGCCCUAGGGUCGUAAAGCUCUUUCGCCAGGGAUGAUAAUGACAGUACCUGGCAAAGAAACCCCGGCUAACUCCGUGCCAGCAGCCGCGGUAAUACGGAGGGGGUUAGCGUUGUUCGGAAUUACUGGGCGUAAAGCGUACGUAGGCGGAUCGGAAAGUUGGGGGUGAAAUCCCGGGGCUCAACCCCGGAACUGCCUCCAAAACUAUCGGUCUAGAGUUCGAGAGAGGUGAGUGGAAUUCCGAGUGUAGAGGUGAAAUUCGUAGAUAUUCGGAGGAACACCAGUGGCGAAGGCGGCUCACUGGCUCGAUACGGACGCUGAGGUACGAAAGAGUGGGGAGCAAACAGGAUUAGAUACCCUGG
rnacentral:rRNA from 1 species